AAAAAGGCAAACCCUGGGUUUGCGUGUCCAACUUUGUCUUAUAAGAAAUUUUUUUAUAAUUCAUAUUUUUAUUGUUGUUAGAUGAUAAAACAUGAUUAAUAUUUUAUGCGUGACUUGUCUUUUUAAUUUUUUUUUUAAAAUUUUUUCAAAUAAGACGUACGGUCAAACGUUGGGCACGGAAACCAGGGUUUGUCUUUUU
rfam:Oryza sativa Japonica Group DNA, chromosome 11, cultivar: Nipponbare, complete sequence.